GAGAGCCAAUGUAAUCGUGUGUAUGUUUUUACUGUGGUUUAAUCUCAGGUCCAGGGGGAAGUGCCCCUUGCAUGGGGACCUGCAUAUAAGGCCAGUUAUGGCUGCCAAUAAAGGUAUUCCAACUUGUACUCCCAGAACUAUGUGUUGUCUGGUUACUGGAAGGGGAAAUGGCUAAUCACUGUUCCAGUGUGGAGGAUUCAACAGGGAAAGUCCUUGUAAGGCUAGAGCUC